rnacentral:lncRNA from 1 species
GGACUUGAGGCUGUCGGGAAGGAGGGGUGUGGCCUAGACCACUAAGGGCCGUGACGUGGUGCCGCUGAGCUUGGACCCCGACCAGAAGAUAGAGAUUGAAACGAUGAGGAAAACGAAGUGCCUAAUCCCCGCUGGACGCUAACUGCAGGGCAAGCUCCCCAGUGUUGUAGUUGUGUUUCGGAGGCCGAGAACCGCUAUCGGGCUUCCUCGGACUCUGGCCCUGGAGGGGGGAAACGGCGAGGGAGAAGGCGAAACGAGUCUCCAGUGUGUUCUUGGGGCCUGGUGCGAGGCCCAGAGAAUUCUCUGCAGGCCUUUGCCCGGGCACUGAUUAAGGCUGCGAAGAGACGCACCGGGCUGCGGGCUUAGUAGCUUCAGGCUUCUGAAGUCAGAGGGAGGGCUGAGAGCUUACACUUCUGGAGCUCCCCGGGAGACGGCAACUACCCAACCGUGUGGGUGUGUUUGUCACCCAGAAAUACUCUCCACACCAUGCUGCACUGCUGCGGAUGAGGGAAGGAUGGUGUCGGGGCUUCAAGACUGUUUUUCCUACCUCUUCAGUGCCUCUUUCAGUGAUAUGAAGUUAAAACCAGGAACAUGGAGGAGACAUAUUUCCACCUAUUUCUCUCCAUAAGUAUAAAAGACCAUAAAAGACCAUCUAGGGACUUCAGAACCCAAAUAAUGACACAAUGGGCUAACUGCUGACUGGAGAGGGGAGAAAAUGGAACACGGAGAGACAGAAGAAAGUGUUCUAACAGAAGUCUGUCUGUGGUUGCUUUGGACCAAGGCAGAGUGCUCUAAAGGUGGCUGUGCUGUACCCAGUACUGUGUCUUCUGAUAGAAGGUUCUGAAGCAACACUGUAACUGCUGAAUGCUUCUGGCUGCUUCUUUCCACAGUAAAAGAUGAAAAGAAAUAUCUUUUAUUGAGAUAGACUGAGGUCCAGGAAAAACAAGUGCAACUUCAUGGUCCUUUUCUUCAUAUUCUGGAAUACAAGAAAACGUGUAAAUGUUUGCAAAUUCAGGUGCUAAGAGUUUUGCAUGUAUAGCAGUACUUUUACCAUCUGUUUCAUUUGGAUGUUUAAUGAUGUCAAUCUUCAAUGGAAGUUUCACAAGUGGAAUCUGUUCAAUAGGUACAUUUUCAACUGGAAUGUAACAUGUAGAGCAGUAGAACAUUCUGGAACCACCACAUUUGAGACAUUUUGAUCUCCCACUUUGCUGAGCUUUUUGAAGAACUUCUUGAGAUGCUAAACAUAAGUUUUGAAGGGGAUCUUCUGAAGCUAUGGAAGUAGUUUGUGACUGUUUUGUUUCCACAAAGUUUGAAUUAUUUUCUUCACUUCAUUUGAGAAAUAUAGGUGGAUUGAGAGACAUUCUUCAUUCAAACAAAAGUUUAACAGCUAUUUCUAAAACACAUAUCAUCUGAAGCUAUGGAAGUAGUUUGUGACUGUUUUGUUUCCACAAAGUUUGAAUUAUUUUCUUCACUUCAUUUGAGAAAUAUAGGUGGAUUGAGAGACAUUCUUCAUUCAAACAAAAGUUUAACAGCUAUUUCUAAAACACAUAUCAUAUGUGCACUGCGAGUCCUCGAACAGCUCCACGCGUCUCCAGCUCUGCCCAAGCCCGAGCCACGCGACGGGCUGUGAUCGCGCACGGACCAGACGCAAAGAAGCCAACUGCUGGUUCUCCACUCUGAAUGAUCAUCGCUUCCCAUUUGGAAGACAAAGAUGGUUACUGGCCUUGGCAUAUUAACCCUGGAGCUGCCUCCUCAGGAAGUGAAGAGUUGGGCUUGGCUGGCUGGUAUAGCAGCAGCGACAGCAGCAGAGACAGCAUGGCCUGCUCAGAAGGGGCGCCCUAGUUGCCAAGGAUGAGGGCACUGGCUUUGCACUCUUUGAGACUGGGGCUUUACCUAACAAACACUUGCAAAACUUAUUACCCCUCCAGUCCUCAAGUUUCCUUGUACCUAUAGAAUAGGAAUGUUAAAACUUACUUCACACAACUGUUUUGAGGAUGAAUUGGCUAUUUGAAAACUUGGGCACUGGAAGAAGUCCAGUGAAGGACAGUGUCACUUCCGCUGUUCACCCUUUCAUGCUUAAUUAACAUUUAAUUAAUCAAAUAUGUUGUUUCUUUUUGUAUUUUUUUAACUGAGAUAAAUGUAGAUUUACAUAUAGUUGUAGAAAUAAUACAGAAUUAUCCCGUGUACCCCUUACCUAGUUACCCCCAAUGGUAACAUCUUGCAAUAUUAUACCACAAUGUCACAACCAGGAUAUUCAGAUAGAUGUCAUCCACUGAUCUUACUCAAAAUUCACUCAUUUUCCAUACAGUCCUUUGAUUGUGUGGUAGUUCUGUGAAAUUUCAUCCCAUCUGUAGUUUUCAUGUAAUCAUCGCCACAGUCAAGGCACAGAAUGCUUCACUUCCAUCACUAUAAGGAACCCUUGUGUUGCCCUUUUAUAACCACACCCACUUCUCUCCUGUCUCCCAAACUCCAUCUCUAAUCCCUGUUAACCACUGAUAUGUUCCUUACUUACACAAUUUUAUCAUUUCAAGAAAGUUACAGAUAUUGAAUCACAUAGUAUGUAACCUUUUAGGAUUGGUGUUUUUCACUCAGCAUUAUUCCCUGGAGAUCAUCCAAGUUGUUGCACGAAUGAUUUGUUUCUUUUAUUGCUGGGGAGUAGUCUAUGGUAUGGAUGUAUCACAGUUUAAUUAUUCGCCCCUUGAAGGACAUUUGGGUGGUUUCUAGUUUCUGGCUAUUGUAAAUGAAACUGUGAUGAACGUUUGUGUACAGGUUUCUGUGUGAACACAAGUUUUCAUUUCUCUGGGAUAAAUGCCUGUGAGUGCAACUGCUGGGUCAUAUGGCAAUUGCAUGUUUAGUUUUACAAGAAACUGCCAAACUGCUUUCCAGAGUGGCUGUGCCAUUUUAAAUUCCCUCCAGCAAUUAUAAGAGGUGCAGUUUCUCGGCAUUCCUUCCAAAAUUUGAUGGUGUUGCCAUUUUUUAUCUUAGCCAUUUUGGCAGGUGUGUAGUAAUAUCUUAUUGUGGGUUUUACGUUGCAUUUCCCUAAUUGUUAAUGUUGUUAAAUAUUUUCUCAUGUGCUUAUCCGCUAUCU